UUUUUUCCACAACAACUAUAACUUAAAAAUUACAACACCUCAAUCUCAAACACACUUUAAUUCUAGUCGUAAACGAUGGAUAUUAGGAGUUGCAAGUAUCAACCCGUGCGGUGUUGUGGCUAACGCGUUAAGUAUCCAACUGGAGAGUAAGCUCGCCAGAAUGAAACUAAAAGGAAUUGAGAUUUGGACAUGAUAUAGACAAGCUUUUUAGGAAAAUAAAUAGAUAGAUAAUAUACACCUGAUACAGACUUACGUGCAUGUAAUGCCCAAGGAAAAUGAUCGCAUAUAUUAAGAUAUACGGCUAGGUUACCUCAAUUAUGAUUCUGGUUUCAAUAUCCCUUCUCUUUGUUUGCUCAUUCCCUUCUCUCAGUUUGCUAAUGUUGCAAAUUACAGUACUAAUAAGGUAAAGCACAAAGUUAAUUUUUAUAAAAUGAUAAUUAGGUUAGCAAUCACGGACUUGCUAUGCAUAUGACUAGUGGCCAAUAAAUUAAGUUCGCUGGUGAAAAAGAAAAACUCCUUAAAGCAUCUUUAUAAAAAUAUUAUUUGAGCACAAAAGGAAUGUUCAAUAAGCUCCUAAUGAUUCAACCUUUUUUUUGUUUUUUUUAGUUGAUUUAUAGAAUCUGUUUGAAAAAAUCUCCUAAAUAAAAGUAAAUUAUACAUAAUUUAAUAAUUAUCCUUCAUACUUCUAAAAUUAUAGAAAUGAAGUUCAAUAAUCAAUACCCUUUAAAUUAGGGAAAACAAGCAAAACCUCUUGAUAUUUGACAAAACUUAUCAUAACUGCCCUAAUGUUUCAAAUCCCCUAACAAAACAUUAAUGACUAUAACUGUGUAGUGAGGGUAUAUUUGUCUUUGACAUUAAUGUUUUAACAUUCAAUUUUAGCUAAUAUGAGCUUGUAUAUGUAGUUUCUUGGGUCUUGGAAAUGGCGAUAAAUUCUUUUACAAUUAAAAGAGAGAUAAAAGAAAGAAAUUAAUAUUAAUUGUCUUAAUUUAAAAAGAAAAUUAAUAAAUUAAAGGAAGAUAAGAGAAAUUAUUUUAAUCCAUAAAUAAUAAAUCUAAACUUUUUUAGAGAAGAAAAGAAUAAAGAGGAACUAAGAGGAGAUAACUUUGUAUUUUAAAAAUUUCCAAACCUUAGGAGAAAGUUUUAGGACAAUUAAUGAUAAAUGAAUUAUUAGAAUAAAAAUAAUUUUUAAUUUUUUUAAGUCAGUAGAGGCUUCAGCUCUUUUCUUAGCAUCAUAGUAAACGGCCUUGAUGAGAGUGUAGGCGUCCAUCUCUCUUAAUGCUGAAAGCAUGACAUCCUAUUACAAUUCCGAACAGUAGUGACCAUUUCAUUAGUUAGCUACUCAAGAUAAGGGUAUGCUUUAUUCUUUUAAAAAGAAAAAAAAAAUAUUUUAACUGUGCAUCAAAUCACAGUCCUCAUAUUGAUAUUGGCCAUAUAUGUUUAAUCUGAUAUUCACAGGGACAUGGUUAAACUUUAGAGUGCAAUUUUCAUUUACCUUUAAAUGGAUCACACCACACACAGCUUGUGCUUAGGAGCAUUCAACAGUAGUUUGCAUUUUGUUGCCAAAUCAAAACCCGUUUGAUUUUACUCAAAAGCGAUUAUUAAUUUUUCUCCUACUCA
rnacentral:lncRNA from 1 species